rnacentral:rRNA from 1 species
AGCGAACGCUGGCGGCAGGCCUAACACAUGCAAGUCGAACGAACUCUUCGGAGUUAGUGGCGGACGGGUGAGUAACACGUGGGAACGUGCCUUUUGGUUCGGAAUAACUCAGGGAAACUUGUGCUAAUACCGAAUGUGCCCUUCGGGGGAAAGAUUUAUCGCCAUUAGAGCGGCCCGCGUCUGAUUAGCUAGUUGGUGAGGUAACGGCUCACCAAGGCGACGAGCAGUAGCUGGUCUGAGAGGAUGACCAGCCACACUGGGACUGAGACACGGCCCAGACUCCUACGGGAGGCAGCAGUGGGGAAUCUUGCGCAAUGGGCGAAAGCCUGACGCAGCCAUGCCGCGUGAAUGAUGAAGGUCUUAGGAUUGUAAAAUUCUUUCACCGGGGACGAUAAUGACGGUACCCGGAGAAGAAGCCCCGGCUAACUUCGUG